CCACAGAUCGCAUGUGAUUGUGGGAAAGAUUCUAUCGGCGUGGGAUGGGGUCGCGUCCUAUCAGCUUGUUGGUGAGGUAACGGCUCACCAAGGCUUCGACGGGUAGCCGGCCUGAGAGGGCGACCGGCCACAUUGGGACUGAGAUACGGCCCAGACUCCUACGGGAGGCAGCAGUGGGGAAUAUUGCACAAUGGGCGCAAGCCUGAUGCAGCGACGCCGCGUGAGGGAUGGAGGCCUUCGGGUUGUAAACCUCUUUUGUUUGGGAGCAAGCCUUCGGGUGAGUGUACCUUUCGAAUAAGCGCCGGCUAACUACGUGCCAGCAGCCGCGGUAAUACGUAGGGCGCAAGCGUUAUCCGGAUUUAUUGGGCGUAAAGGGCUCGUAGGCGGCUCGUCGCGUCCGGUGUGAAAGUCCAUCGCUUAACG
rnacentral:rRNA from 1 species